UACGGGGGGAGCAAGCGUUGUUCGGAUUUACUGGGCGUAAAGGGCUCGUAGGCGGCCAACUAAGUCAGACGUGAAAUCCCUCGGCUUAACCGGGGAACUGCAUCUGAUACUGGAUGGCUUGAGUUCGGGAGAGGGAUGCGGAAUUCCAGGUGUAGCGGUGAAAUGCGUAGAUAUCUGGAGGAACACCGGUGGCGAAGGCGGCAUCCUGGACCGACACUGACGCUGAGGAGCGAAAGCCAGGGGAGCAAACGGG
rnacentral:rRNA from 1 species